UCCUUAAAAUCUGAAAAUAUAUAUUUUUAUAUUAAAAUAUAUAAGUAAAUUUUCAAAAAUAAAUAUUUAUGUAUGUAUAUUAAAACACAGUACAGAGUUUUACAUUUACAAAAAAAAAAAAAAAAAAAAAAAAAGAAAAUUAAUUAAUGCAUAAUUUGUGAAAUGAUGAUCUGCUCGUCUUAUUAAUAGUCAUGUUUUCAGAUCUCUGGUCUCAGACAAGGAGAUGAACCUUCAAUGUCCUUCACCGAUCAUCAUUUCAAGUGUGGUCUGACGUGACCGAAAGAUCAUAUCUGAGCGGGCGUGUUGGAGGAUGCUGAGGGUGCGUGACCGCUGCCAAACAGAUUUCAUCAUCCCGUACCCUGCUGGUAAACUCUCUCGCUGUCUCCAUGCAAGAGAAACUCUGAAUUCCUUCAGCUAAUCUCACGUCUGGAUGCAGCUGUGUUUCUGCGCCGCCGGAGAACAAACUCUCGAGUCCCUGCAGGACCAGACACUUGCUAUUCUUACGUUUCUAAGUGGAGGGAAAUGUCAUUUUAAAUUAAAUAAAGAUUCAGAGCCUGAAGGGGUCGAACACUUAUAAGAGAAGAAACACAUGUUCAUUCACAGAGGAAGAGCUGCAGCGUGAUCCGCUGACGUUUGAAGAAUGAUCGUCCACGUAUCUGUCGAGUAAAACCUGGAGAAGUCCUUUAAAACUGACUGCACCAUUAUUAUCAUCAUCAAUCAUCAAAUCUGUUUGAAAUGUAUU
ensembl:lncRNA